GUGUCAGCCGCCGCGGUAAGACAGAGGGGGCCAGCGUUGUCCGGAAUCACUGGGCGUAAAGCGCACGCAGGCGGCAGGGCACGUGUGGUGUGACAGUGCACAGCUUAACUGUGCGAGGCCAUCGCAUACGGCCCCGCUUGAGCCGUUCAGAGGUGGGUAGAAUUGCCGGUGUAGGAGUGACAUCCGUAGAGCCCGGCAGGAAUACCGAUGGGGCAGCCAGCCCACUGGGAACGUGCUGACGCUCAGGUGCGACAGCGUGGGGAGCAAACCGGAUUAGAUACCCCGGUAGUCC
rnacentral:rRNA from 1 species